rnacentral:lncRNA from 1 species
AGGUAGCGGAAUAUAUGAAGAGCCUCCCAUCGGUGUAUAUUUAUAUACACCUAAUAGAAGACCGUCUAUACUCUGUACCGAAAAGCCACUCACCCGUCCUUGGUACGUUUUCUCCUCUUUUAACAAUUUACUGAAUUUUUCUUCAACUAAGUCCUCAAUCUCGCUGUCAAAAAAUAUUGACCUGCCUGAGGUCUUAAAAUCUCUAUUCUCGGCUGAAUUCUGUAUUUGUGGUUUAUAAUAGGUGGCUUCCAGUUUAAGAUUAAAUUUUAUGGGGUUAUUUUGAGAGGAUUUUUUAAGAAGAUCGAUUAAUGCUGGUUUGAUGGAAGAAAGGAAUUUUUUAUAAUUUAUCUUUGCUUGGAGCAAAACACAGCGCCACCCAUUCGUUAUCUAUACCGAUUUCAAAGCGAUUUUGGAACCGGGCGAUGAUAAGCGGGGGAUGAAUACCACAGUAAUUCAUCACCACAAACCCAUGAGCUAUGGGUUUGUGGUGAAAGCCUCGGAUAACGUCCCAACAGAGUUAUUGGAGGAGUUCGAUAUCCCGACGGCUCCAAUAAUUUAUCGUUGUACAGAAGACGAACCUAACGUGGUAAAUCAUUUUAUGGGGGAAAUAGUGGAAAUAGGUAUAAAAAUCAACGAUCUUUUGAAGCAGCACCACUCUCUCACCACUCACAUUUAUUUUAUACUUCUCCGUUUUUAUUAGUGUUAUAUUUUUUUUUUUUUUUAAAACAAGUAUUUACUUUGUUUAACAUUACGGAAACUUUAUUACGUUGUGUCAAAGUUAAUAAUCGUUUAGUCGUAAAAAUAAUAAAUUCGGGUUACUCAAACGAAAUAAAUUGUUCUUUUCCAUCACACUUAAAAGUUGAAGGUAAUUGAAGAAUAAAACUAUUACAGAAAGCAGAAACACACCCCGUAUAUUUUCAAACAUGUUUUAUUUCCAUCAACAUAGAGUGUACUACACACCUCUAGGAAAUAUAAUAUCCUCCUCAAAAAUUGAAACCAGCUACCACACUAUCCUGGUUUUACGAAAAUGCAGAUAAUUUCAUGACGGUCGGAAUUUACAUUCCGGAAAUAAUCAAUGCACUACUAAAACACCUCAUGUACCCGCAUCAAACUGAAACGGCCCAGAAAAAUCUAAUAAGACAGACAAUUGGUCAUGAAGUAAUAAAUCAAGGAUUUGAUACUAGGAAUAUUAUAAGCGAACAAACAAUAAGUAAUAUGGUCCAUUCUGAAUUACAAAGAUUUGGGAUAGGACAUGUCGCAUUCAGCCUCUCAGGAAUCUUUGUGAUAGGCAAAGUUUCUCUAAUGACUAUCAACACCAUACUGAAUAUAUCUAUCCUUUACAACACAUUUGGUUGGAGCAUUAAAUUAAUAGCGGGCAUUUUCUAAAACAUAACGCAUUAUCUAAUGCACAAAGAGAAAUAGAACAGAUACGGGGCUGUUUCUACUACUAUGACCAACAAGACAACGGAAGAAAAACACCCUACUCCACAAUUAUAUCCAGAUCUUCGAAGAACUUCAAUAUAAAAUAAGCAUCCACCACACAUCACAUGCAUACGGACCCCCCUUUUAUAUUAUAUUCAUUUUACUCUCUCCCCUUAUUAAUACUACAAUUUAAUAUUAUACAUUGAUUUCUUUAUAAAUAAUAUGCAUUGUUAUGAGGGCAUAACAAAAAAGAGACUGGGGUGGAUGUAAUGAUAUGCUAUGUAAGCUAUCAUACAUUAUGUAAAAUAAAAUAUUAUAAGUCAAACAAUUAACAACGGAAAUUAUAGUUAAACAUUUACAUCCGAUGCCAUUCUUUUUUUNUAAUACUUAAGAUAUCAUAUAUAAUUAAAAUAAAUUAUAUAGUCAAUAUUGUAAAAUAUUUAUAUUAAUUUGUAGCCAUUAAUUAUUAGAUUAAGUUGUGAGUAUUAACCAAAUUAAGAUAACACAUUUACACACGCACACACACAUAUUUCUCCAGUUAUAAGGAGGCCGGCCACUUCCAAUAAACACACAGAGUAUGUAUUGUUCCCGUUGCUUUUAGACAGAUGAUCACAAGUGAGUGUAAAAGACUACGCAGAGAUUAUUACAAAAGCACGGGAACCUAGAACAGUAUUUUAUAUUUAAAAAAUUAAUAAAAUAGAAACAGUUAUUAUAUUGAAAUCUUUUUAUUUACUACGGUCACCUAUA